AUGGGGCUGCUUAGUUCGUCAGGGUAUGUGAAAUUCCUCUGGACUAUAAUCAUUUUUCGGGAUCGGUCACUUGCUUGCAUCGUGGUGUAACUAUACUGAACCCACCUUUAACUAAAGGUUCUUUUGGUGAACUUUUCCAACGGCUAAAGUGGUCCUUCC
rnacentral:other from 1 species